rnacentral:rRNA from 1 species
AAAUUGAAGAGUUUGAUCAUGGCUCAGAUUGAACGCUGGCGGCAGGCCUAACACAUGCAAGUCGAACGGUAACAGGAAGCAGCUUGCUGCUUUGCUGACGAGUGGCGGACGGGUGAGUAAUGUCUGGGAAACUGCCUGAUGGAGGGGGAUAACUACUGGAAACGGUGGCUAAUACCGCAUAACGUCGCAAGACCAAAGAGGGGGACCUUCGGGCCUCUUGCCAUCAGAUGUGCCCAGAUGGGAUUAGCUUGUUGGUGAAGUAACGGCUCACCAAGGCGACGAUCCCUAGCUGGUCUGAGAGGAUGACCAGCCACACUGGAACUGAGACACGGUCCAGACUCCUACGGGAGGCAGCAGUGGGGAAUAUUGCACAAUGGGCGCAAGCCUGAUGCAGCCAUGCCGCGUGUAUGAAGAAGGCCUUCGGGUUGUAAAGUACUUUCAGCGGGGAGGAAGGUGUUGUGGUUAAUAACCGCA